UACGUAGGGUGCGAGCGUUAAUCGGAAUUACUGGGCGUAAAGCGUGCGCAGGCGGCUUUGCAAGACAGAUGUGAAAUCCCCGGGCUUAACCUGGGAACUGCAUUUGUGACUGCAAGGCUGGAGUGCGGCAGAGGGGGAUGGAAUUCCGCGUGUAGCAGUGAAAUGCGUAGAGAUCGGGAGGAACACCUGUGGCGAAGGCGGCCGACUGGGCCGACCCUGACGCUGAGGCGCGAAGGCGUGGGGAGCGAACGGG
rnacentral:rRNA from 1 species